rnacentral:rRNA from 1 species
GAGUUUGAUCUUGGCUCAGAUUGAACGCUGGCGGCAGGCCUAACACAUGCAAGUCGAGCGGUAGAGAGAAGCUUGCUUCUCUUGAGAGCGGCGGACGGGUGAGUAAUGCCUAGGAAUCUGCCUGGUAGUGGGGGAUAACGCUCGGAAACGGACGCUAAUACCGCAUACGUCCUACGGGAGAAAGCAGGGGACCUUCGGGCCUUGCGCUAUCAGAUGAGCCUAGGUCGGAUUAGCUAGUUGGUGAGGUAAUGGCUCACCAAGGCGACGAUCCGUAACUGGUCUGAGAGGAUGAUCAGUCACACUGGAACUGAGACACGGUCCAGACUCCUACGGGAGGCAGCAGUGGGGAAUAUUGGACAAUGGGCGAAAGCCUGAUCCAGCCAUGCCGCGUGUGUGAAGAAGGUCGUUCGGAUUGUAAAGCACUUUAAGUUAGGGAGGAAGGCGAGUAAAUUAAUACGUUUGCUUGUUUUGACGUUA